UACCUAAUAGUGACAAUUAAAGGAACAGCAAUGGGCACUUGCAUUGCAACAUAUCUCAAGACAUCUGACUGUGAAACAACAGCAUGUCCAGGAAGAGGUUUCCAUCCCUGUGCUUCCUGAACAUUUGAGCCUACUAAGAUAAAAGGUGGGGCACUGGUCUUCUUGGUGUCGCCCAUCACAUAAGUUGGAAAAGUGACUUUUGGUGGAUGCUGCUGAAACUGUGGAUCCUUAGGAUUAGGUAAAUAGAGGGUUGCUUGGGGAAAAGGCCCAGGUGCAGGUGGCGGUGAUGGGUGACCUUGUUGAUUCUUAUCAGUUAGACAGUAAAGGGUCCACAUGUUAGAAUAUGGUGGUGGUUGUCCU
rnacentral:lncRNA from 1 species